UACGUAGGGGGCAAGCGUUGUCCGGAUUAUUGGGCGUAAAGAGCGUGUAGGCGGCCUUACAGGUCAGCUGUGAAAACUCGAGGCUCAACCUCGAGACGUCGGUUGAAACCGUAAGGCUAGAGUCCGGAAGAGGAGAGUGGAAUUCCCGGUGUAGCGGUGAAUGCGCAGAUAUCGGGAAGAACACCCGUGGCGAAGGCGGCUCUCUGGGACGGUACUGACGCUGAGACGCGAAAGCGU
rnacentral:rRNA from 1 species